UGGGGAAUAUUGGACAAUGGGCGAAAGCCUGAUCCAGCCAUGCCGCGUGUGUGAAGAAGGUCUUCGGUUUGUAAAGCACUUUAAGUGGGGAGGAAGGGCAGUAAGCGAAUACCUUGCUGUUUUGACGUUACCGACAGAAUAAGCACCGGCUAACUCUGUGCCAGCAGCCGCGGUAAUACAGAGGGUGCAAGCGUUAAUCGGAAUUACUGGGCGUAAAGCGCGCGUAGGUGGUUCGUUAAGUUGAAUGUGAAAGCCCCGGGCUCAACCUGGGAACUGCAUCCAAAACUGGCGAGCUAGAGUAGGGCAGAGGGUGGUGGAAUUUCCUGUGUAGCGGUGAAAUGCGUAGAUAUAGGAAGGAACACCAGUGGCGAAGGCGACCACCUGGGCUCAUACUGACACUGAGGUGCGAAAGCGUGGGGAGCAAACAGG
rnacentral:rRNA from 1 species